rnacentral:lncRNA from 1 species
UUUCAAUAAAGCCCUCUCUCCCAUUGAAACUAAAAAACAAACACGCAGUAACAUUCUUCUAUCACCUAUCGUUUUCUCGUCGGCUCCGUUCAUGACUGGAAACCACUAUCCGGACUUCUCCGUUGUUCACCGCUCCUCCCCGCCCUUCUCUAGCAACCCCCAAGUCACCUACACCGACACCGACACCAACAGUUAAAAAAUCUCCGGGAAAGCCAGGCCAUGAUAUCUCUAGACAUGAGUUGUUGAAACUCCAAACAGGGGACAAGAUGCUCUUCAAACCUUACUUCUUUAAUUUGGGGAUUUUUUUUUUCUCGCCGAAACGUAGAAGAAUGGGGAAGUUACAGAUAAAUUUCGUCAAUUAAUGGCGGAAUCGAAGCAGAAGGUUUCAAUUGGAGAGGAAUUUGUCAUUGAUUUGAACCAAUCUUUCAAGCAUAGAUGAGAGAGGCGGCGGAGAUGGUGAAUGGCGGAGGAGGAGCAGGUUGGGGAUGGGGAACGUGAAGAUGACCUUUUUUUCUAUUAUUAUUAUUUUUUUUUUUUUACUUUUGCA